rnacentral:rRNA from 1 species
UACGUAGGGAGCGAGCGUUGUCCGGAUUCAUUGGGCGUAAAGAGCUCGUAGGCGGCUUGGCAAGUCGGGUGUGAAAACUCCAGGCUCAACCUGGAGACGCCACCCGAUACUGCCAUGCUAGAGUCCGGUAGGGGACCACGGAAUUCCUGGUGUAGCGGUGAAAUGCGCAGAUAUCAGGAGGAACACCGGUGGCGAAGGCGGGUCUCUGGGCCGAUACUGACGCUGAGGAGCGAAAGCCGUGGGGAGCGAACAGG